rnacentral:rRNA from 1 species
AUACGAAGGGGGCUAGCGUUGUUCGGAAUUACUGGGCGUAAAGCGCGCGUAGGCGGACUGAUCAGUUGGGGGUGAAAUCCCAGGGCUUAACCCUGGAACUGCCUCCAAUACUGUCAGUCUUGAGUUCGGGAGAGGUGAGUGGAAUUCCUAGUGUAGAGGUGAAAUUCGUAGAUAUUAGGAAGAACACCAGUGGCGAAGGCGGCUCACUGGCCCGAUACUGACGCUGAGGCGCGAAAGCGUGGGGAGCAAACAGGAUUAGAAACCCUAGUAGUCC